rnacentral:rRNA from 1 species
CAGUAGCCACGGGAAUGCGAAGGGGGCUAGCGUUGCUCGGAAUCACUGGGCGUAAAGGGUGCGUAGGCGGGUCUUUAAGUCAGGGGUGAAAUCCUGGAGCUCAACUCCAGAACUGCCUUUAAUACUGAAGAUCUUGAGUUCGGGAGAGGUGAGUGGAACUGCGAGUGUAGAGGUGAAAUUCGUAGAUAUUCGCAAGAACACCAGUGGCGAAGGCGGCUCACUGGCCCGAUACUGACGCUGAGGCACGAAAGCGUGGGGAGCGAACAGGAUUAGAUACCCCGGUAGUCCCUGUCUCUUAUAC